UGCCUGGUGUGUCCUAGGAGGAGCCAGAGAUUGUGCGCCACCGUGUUAGGCGCCACCCUGUGGACAACUUCUGGAAUGGGCACGAGGUUUGUCUUUUUGGUGACAUCUUAAUAACAGGCUGCAAUAAAUUGCGAAAGGAUAGAUACUUGUAAAAUGCCAUACUCAAAUAAUUCUGGAAUUGUUGAAUUCUUUGCAAAUGCAGUCUUUGGUAAUCCUUAAGUGACAUUUCGAUGAAUUUCUCAGAGGAUGUGAUUCAAGUUAAUAUCUUUACACACUGUUAAAGGUCAUCUCAAAGGAUGAGUUUAGUUGUCUUGUUUCUUCAUCAUCACUUCAUUGAUGUUUCUGUUUAGCCGCAGGAACCAAGAGAUUAUUCUACAUUCUAUGCCAUUAUAAUCACCCUGGGUCUCAUAUUCAUUUACAUCUUUGCCCCCCCUUCAAACUCUGCAGCCGUUGGAAUCACUCUGGAUAUGGACACAGUAAACCCUCUCCUCAAAGUGAACAACGACCACUGCUGUCCGGGUCUCAGUCGAUCAGCGCUACCCUUCACACCCCUCCCGAUUUGAUGAUAUCCCCCAGGCCCUGACUACGGAGUGCAUCUCCACUGGGAAGCACAGCUGGUUAGUGGAAACACAGGGCUACUGGGACAUCGGUGUGGCCUACAAAAGCAUCAGCAGGAAAGGAACGCUUGGCAUCAGACUUGGAACUAAUGAGUCUUGGGGCCUCCGACACAAUAAGAUGGGUCACCUUCUCGCCCUCCACAACAAUGAACGGAGGAAGAUCCAAAAAUCCCUGAAUAGCAAUAUGAUACAGAUAAUAAAGGUCUGUAAGGGGUACCAUCAGUUUUGCUGAGAAGGGACGCAGGUUGGAGAAUCUCUAUGGUUUCAAAGCCUCCUUCAAUCAGCCUGUUUGUGUUGGACUUGGCCUGUACAGUGUGGAGCCCCAAAGCACAGUCUCUAUUACCAAACUACUGUAGAGGAAAAGGUUGAAUUUUCAAUCUCAUCAGUGGACCUCAUUGGUAAAGUGCACUAUACAGGGAAUUCAUACUGGUUUGUCUUACAUUUCCAUUUCGCUAUUUACAAUUAAACUUUGCUUGUCAUGUAUAGGUUCAGAACUCAUACAGAUCAUAUAAUCUCAUCUCUGUUUUGAUGGUAUAUAUUAAUUGUACACAGCAAUUAAUUGUACAGUGCUUUUGUACAUUUCUGAAUGUACGUAUACCUAUUUAUUGCAUUUUGCAUACUUGACCAUCUCUCUACUCUUUAAAAUAAAUCACUCAGUUCA
ensembl:lncRNA